rnacentral:rRNA from 1 species
GACGUAGGGCGCGAGCGUUGUCCGGAUUUAUUGGGCGUAAAGAGCUCGUAGGCGGCUCAUUGCGUCAACCGUGAAAACCAGCAGCUCAACUGUUGGCUUGCGGUUGAUACGGGUGGGCUGGAGUUCGGUAGGGGAGACUGGAAUUCCUGGUGUAGCGGUGAAAUGCGUAGAUAUCAGGAGGAACACCGAUGGCGAAGGCAGGUCUCUGGGCUGACACUGACGCUCAUGCACGAAAGCGUGGGGAGCAAACAGG